rnacentral:rRNA from 1 species
CCUACGGGCGGCAGCAGUGGGGAAUAUUGCACAAUGGGCGCAAGCCUGAUGCAGCCAUGCCGCGUGUGUGAAGAAGGCCUUCGGGUUGUAAAGCACUUUCAGCGGGGAGGAAGGCGUUAAGGUUAAUAACCUUGUCGAUUGACGUUACCCGCAGAAGAAGCACCGGCUAACUCCGUGCCAGCAGCCGCGGUAAUACGGAGGGUGCAAGCGUUAAUCGGAAUUACUGGGCGUAAAGCGCACGCAGGCGGUCUGUCAAGUCGGAUGUGAAAUCCCCGGGCUCAACCGGGGAACUGCAUUCGAAACUGGCAGGCUAGAGUCUUGUAGAGGGGGGUAGAAUUCCAGGUGUAGCGGUGAAAUGCGUAGAGAUCUGGAGGAAUACCGGUGGCGAAGGCGGCCCCCUGGACAAAGACUGACGCUCAGGUGCGAAAGCGUGGGGAGCAAACAGGAUUAGAUACCCCAGUAGUC